AUUGAACGCUGGCGGCAGGCCUAACACAUGCAAGUCGAACGAGUGGCGGACGGGUGAGUAAUGUAUGGGAAACUGCCCGAUGGAGGGGGAUAACUACUGGAAACGGUAGCUAAUACCGCAUACCAUCGGAUGUGCCCAGAUGGGAUUAGCUAGUAGGUGGGGUAACGGCUCACCUAGGCGACGAUCCCUAGCUGGUCUAAGAGGAUGACCAGCCAGACUGGAACUGAGACACGGUCCAGAAGCAUACGGGAGGCAGGAGUGGGGAAUAUUGCACAAUGGGCGCAAGCCUGAUGCAGCCAUGCCGCGGGUAUGAAGAAGGCCUUCGGGUUGUAAAGUACUUUCAGCGGGGAGGCGUUACUCGCAGAAGAAGCACCGGCUAACUCCGUGCCAGCAGCCGCGGUAAUAC
rnacentral:rRNA from 1 species